rnacentral:lncRNA from 1 species
UUGUCAGGGUCUACAUGCUCGUAGAUGAGUUGUAUCAUAGAUACAAUAGCCGCAUCAGGGAUUUCUUUGAUCUAAAAAAGUUUAUCAUCUAACCGAAAGAUACGCAAAGAUAUCUCCGGACGUUUAGAUAAUAAGACUUUAAAGACUCAUAAGAAAACCCAUAAGGUCUUUUUCCAUGAUCCUGAAAAUCAAAGUAAACAAAGAGAAACAUAAGAAUGAUAAUAUAAGAAAAAAGUAAAAAUUGUGGAAAAAUAAACGAAUUAUAACAUAUAAUUCCUCACAAAAAACAUAACAUCUUAUUCAAAAAAAUAAGAAAUAUUAGAACUUAUAAAGAAAGUGAUAUAAAUGCGAAAAGAUUAAAAAGUCUAACCAAAGUGAAAACUUUGGUUAGACACAAAGUAUUAAAAUAUUCUUGUGAAACAAUAAUAGCAAAAACAAGUCUCGUAAACUAAGUAUAAAUACAAUAGCCUCUCAAAUACGAAAGAUUCGGGAAUAAAUGGAUUUUAAAGCAUCUAUAUUAGCAAGAUCGAUAAUUACUCCUAAAAUAUUGUUUAUUGAAUGUGAUCAUAUCAAGUCUAACUUAAUUUUAUUAUUAAACCUUCCUAAAAUGAGAGCCUACUCUAUGCUUUAAAAAACCUGAUAUGACUCCUAUAAACUUUUUAUAUUUUUAUAAUCCAUCAAUCUAUUCAAUCCUAGUCCGUUUCAUUAAACUAAUUAUGGUAAAAAUUGAAUGUAUUGACUCCUAAAUAAUGAUUUUUAAGUUAUCCUAAUUAAAUAUCUACCGUUAUACACCCUCCUUCCACUAACCAGAUCUUAACCUAGGUAAAACUUAUAUGCUAUAACAUAUAACAUAUCCACACAUAUGCAGCUUACUGGUUCCAUCAACCAGACCCCGUAAAGGUACCAGACCCCAUUAAGGUACCGAAUUCCUCAUAAUAGGAAACAAACAAACCAUUCUUAAUAGCCUGCGCAACUCAUAUGUUAUGAAACUUCAUCCAUCCACCGGAAAUUGUUGCACACCUUCGAACUGUAGGAUACCUUUGAAAAGCUAACAGAUAAUAACACGUUAUAGACAACACUAAAAACAUCUGAUCUAAGUCAAGAAACUACCAAAACAUCACUGAAAAACAGUCAAUUCAAAAUCCACAGUUAAACCCACUCACACAAGCGAAAAAACAAUUGCCCACAAUACAAUGAUAGAAAAUACUGCUCCCCAAAUAACAGAUCCCAGACAAAAUAUUACCAAGUAAACCAUGCAGUUGACUUCAAAUUACAGCAUAGUCUCAUAAAAACCAAGAGAACACUUAAAACAAUAACAAACAAAGAGGGUAUUUGCACAAAUCAAUUAACAAGAAGAAUAAUCAAUCAAGUACUGACAUCAAAAAUUCCAAUCCCUGAUAUCCUUUCUCAUUGCGACAUUUGAUCGAACAUAUGGCAGGCAAUAGAGAAAGACACACAUAAGUCGAAAUACAGAUAAGUUUCAAGUUACCUGACAAGACUAUACAAAUAAUGAAGCAAUCUCUUACUUGGUUUUGACCAUACAAAACUUAUCUCUCUGUCUCGGGCUGAGACCUCCUCCGUUGCCGUUCUCGACGGCGAGGAUUCCGUCAGCUCC